rnacentral:rRNA from 1 species
GGGUGGCUGGUCCGGCAUUAGCUUCCGGGUGCGGCGCGGGUGUCUACUUCUUAGAGGGACAAGCGGGAGAAGCCGCACGAAAUGGAGCAAUAACAGGUCUGUGAUGCCCUUAGAUGUCCGGGGCCGCACGCGCGCUACAAUGACGGUGGCAAUGAGUCUGACCUUCUGGCCCGAAAGGGUUGGGCAAACUGGUCAAUCACCGUCAUGACAGGGAUCGGGGCUUGGAAUUGUUCCCCGUGAACGAGGAAUUCCUAGUAAGUGCAAGUCAUAAGCUUGCGCUGAUUACGUCCCUGCCCUUUGUACACACCGCCCGUCGCUACUACCGAUUGAAUGGUUUAGUAAGGUCCUUGGAUUGGCCCCAUUGUGGUGGUCACCGAAAGGUGGCUGCCCGACCGGGG